UUUCCUUUCAUUUCCGUUUAUCCUCUGGCAUGGUAUGCGGGUUGCGUUCGUUUGUGUCGCAAGAAUGAUUUAUUAUGCGUUAAGCAUUGAGCGCUGAUUCAGUGGCGUAGACCUGCAUAAGGGGGAAAAUCCCUUUACCUCUCGGCUUGGGCCUGUGGAAGUGCAACUGCAUAAAUUAAGUGUGAUCAAGGCAGUAUUGGUGGUUUGUUCACCGUGUGAUCAAGGCAGUGUUGGUGGUUUGUUCACCGUGCUUACCGAGGGUCUGUUAAUUGUGCUGCAGAAUCUGCCCGCUGUUGCUUUGCUGCUGCGGGGCGGCGUGUUACUGUGAUCCGUGGGCUGCGCGCUGGAGAUUGGAGAGUGCGCGCUCCAGUCCCAUUGACUACUUUAAAGACGCAUGUUUAUAUGCGCUGAGCUUCAUGUGAAUGAGUUUUAUGCGAGCGUGAGCCAGGGCGAGUGCGUGUUUGAAUGACUAUAUUGUGUCUGCUGGAGUGACGAUAUUGUGCGUGGUUGGGUGAUUAUAUUGUGUGUGCGGUUGAGUGACUAUAUUAUGUGUGUAUGGUGAGAGUGGUUUUUGAGUAAUCUAUUAUUGUUACUUUUUCAACAUUUAAUGUUAUUUUCUUUCGUUUUGUUUCUUUCUGUUUUGUCAAUUGUAUGGAAUAUUGUGAGUAUUUGUUAUUGAAUAAGUUGUUUUUGGUAUAUUGCCAAACUGUAUUUGUAAUUGUCUUUUUAUUUCAUUUUUGUUUGAUUGUGGGUUGCUUGUCAAUCGUGUUGAGUACUGUGAGCGGUUAUUAGCACUGCUCUUAUCUCUUAUCAAUCCAUUUAU